UUCCCCCGCCUUCCUGGAAUGGAAAUUUUCCUAUUACCCAAAUGAAAAAAGAUUGACAAAAAGCUAAGGGUGUAGCUGACAGGUUCCGAGAUAAGUGAACAAUUAGUUGACCAAACUGUUGACAGGUUUUUCACUUGCCUAAAGCAGGAAUACGAAGGCUGAUGUUAUGUUCUAACUCUAGGAUCCACUGACUCUCCCAGAGUUGUUCAAUGAAGCCUGAUUGAAAGUCCACUAGGCUUAGCGCAGCUGUCCGAAUGAACGGAGAGCCACAGGCUUGACAGCACCAACAGAUACUUCAUAAUCCCGAUGACCUCAUUAGAGUUUGCUACAUUUGCGGAGGAUUUGAGACGCGGUCAAAAUGUGGGCUUGAAAUGAAAUAAGCACACCAAGGACUGGAGCUAAACACGCGCCCUUUUUUGUUGCCUCCCCAGAACUCAGAAGUGACAGGAACCUGGUGCUGAAUACAUGAUUAUUGACUGACCAACUGCCAGCCUGGAACAAAACAGCUGUCUGCUCCUGCUUUGGAGCCUGCCCUGUCUUUUACUUCCUCCACACACACAAAAAAGAAUCCAUUUCUAAAUGUGAGCAGGAAAGCUGAAAGAAUAUGUCAAUGGUAUCGGAAAGCCAGAGCCAAACUUUGUCAGGAGUUGGAGCCACGUGCCAAGAGCAACAGGUCAACCAAUUUCCAGAAAGCCAAGAAAGGACUUUGCUAAUGAGAGAGUUUGGGCAGAGGCAACAGAACAUUUGACUAAAUCAGCUUCUGAAAUUAAAAUAAGAGACCAACAGAAAGGAUGAGUAUAAGAUCAAAAAGGAGAUAAUGACUGCGUUCAGUAGAUCUGGAAAAUGGGGUGCCUGCUGCAGCCCUGGAGCUAGAAGGGCUCCAGCUCCUAACAUGCUAAGGAAGGCAAUAAGGGCUCCCAUGGCAUGGCUAUGGAUUGGAAUGCAGGUCCAUGAUCCCGUUCUCCCACUUCUUAUGAAGAGGGGGACUUGGGGAUGAUUACAGCUCUGUCCUAUAGAUGGUGCCUAAGGUAAGCCUACAUAGCUGAGACCGCACAGCUGAAUUCCAUCUUCCAUGGGGGAUGGCCAAUGAUGGGCUUCACUUCUAACCAUCCAAGCACUAUCAGCUCACAUGGAUUAGGUCCCACCAUGAACACUCUAGUUUCACAGCCCUUUUCAGGGUUGCACAAAAUAUAUUUGCAUGUAAUCAUCAUGGCAA